ACGAUCGGUGACAGGUGGUGCAUGGUUGUCGUCAGCUCGUGUCGUGAGAUGUUGGGUUAAGUCCCGCAACGAGCGCAACCCCUAUUGUUAGUUGCCAUCAUUCAGUUGGGCACGUCUAGCGAGACUGCCGGUAAUAAACCGGAGGAAGGUGGGAUGACGUCAAAUCAUCAUGCCCCUUAUGACCUGGGCUACACACGUGCUACAAUGGUUGGUACAACGAGUUGCGAGUCGGUGACGGCGAGCUAAUCUCUUAAAGCCAAUCUCAGUUCGGAUUGUAGGCUGCAACUCGCCUACAUGAAGUCGGAAUCGCUAGUAAUCGCGGAUCAGCACGCCGCGGUGAAUACGUUCCCGGGCCUU
rnacentral:rRNA from 1 species